CUGGCUCAGGAUGAACGCUAGCGGCAGGCUUAACACAUGCAAGUCGAGGGGCAGCGGGAUGUAGCAAUACAUGCCGGCGACCGGCGGAUGGGUGCGCAACGCGUAUGCAACCUACCUUAUACAGGGGAAUAACCUUUCGAAAGGGAGACUAACACCCCAUAGUAUUGAUUUAAGGCAUCUUAGAUUAAUUAAAUAUUUAUAGGUAUAAGAUGGGCAUGCGUAUGAUUAGCUAGUUGGUAAGGUAACGGCUUACCAAGGCGACGAUCAUUAGGGGUUCUGAGAGGAAGGUCCCCCACACUGGUACUGAGACACGGACCAGACUCCUACGGGAGGCAGCAGUGAGGAAUAUUGGUCAAUGGGCGCAAGCCUGAACCAGCCAUGCCGCGUGCAAGGAAGACGGCCUUAUGGGUUGUAAACUGCUUUUACAUAAGACUAACCGUAUAUUUGCGAAUAUACCUGAAUGUAUUAUGAGAAUAAGGAUCGGCUAACUCCGUGCCAGCCGCCGC
rnacentral:rRNA from 1 species